UACGUAGGGUGCAAGCGUUGUCCGGAAUUAUUGGGCGUAAAGAGCUCGUAGGCGGUUUGUCGCGUCGGCUGUGAAAACCUGGGGCUCAACCCCGGGCCUGCAGCCGAUACGGGCAAACUAGAAUUCGGUAGGGGAGACUGGAAUUCCUGGUGUAGCGGUGAAAUGCGCAGAUAUCAGGAGGAACACCGGUGGCGAAGGCGGAUCUCUGGGCCGAUACUGACGCUGAGGAGCGAAAGCGUGGGGAGCGAACAGG
rnacentral:rRNA from 1 species